UGAGUAAAGCGGCGAACGGGUGAGUAACACGUAAGAAACCUGCGCCUAAAUCCGGAAUAACAUUGCUAACGCGGUGCUAAUACCGGAUGUGGUCUCCAGUCUGCAUGAACAGGAGAUUACUCGUGACCUCUACUUGUAAGUUAUCGUUGAGGGAUGGUCUUGCUGACCAUAAGCUUGUCGUGCGGGGUAACGGUCCACCAAGGCUGUCGAUGGUUAGCCGGUCUUAAGAGGGUGAUCGGCCACAUUGUGCGACUGACUAUACGGCCCAUACUCCCACGGGAGGCAUGCAGUAUGGAACUUUUGCGCCAUGGACGAAAGUCUGACUCAGGCGAACGCCGCGUGAGCGAUGAAGGUUCUCGGAUUGUAAAGCUCUGUCGAGUGGGAAGAAAACUCUCCGGGAUAAUACCCCGGAAGACUUGACGGUACCACCUCGAGGAAGCCCCGGUCUAAAUACUUGCCAGCAGCCGCGGGUAAUACGUAUGUGGGCAAGCGUUGUUCGGAAUCACUGGGCGUUAAGGGAGUGGUCGCCGGAAAGGUAAGUUAGAAGUGUAAUCCACGGGGCUUAACCCGUGACUCGCUUUUAAUACUGCUUAUCUUGAGUAUGGGAGAGGGAGAUGGAAUUCCAGGUGUAGCGGGGGAAACUGCGUUAGAUAUCUGGGAGAACACCAGUAGCGAAGGCGGUCUCCUGGGCCCAAUACUGACGCUUGAGGCUCGAAAGCAUGGGGAGCGAACAGGAUUAGAUACCCUGGUAGUCCACGCCGUAAACGAUGGACACUAGAUGUUGGUCUCUUCGGGGGUCGGUCUCGUAGCUAACGCGUUAAGUGUCCCGCCUGGGAAGUACGCUCGCAAGAGUGAAACUCAAAGGAAUUGACGGGGGCCCGCACAAACGGUGGAGCAUGUGCUUUAAUUCGAUGCAACGCGAAGAACCUUACCUGGACUUGACAUGGGGGUGAAAGUUUUCAGAGAUGAAAACCCUUCCUUCGGGAACGCCCUACACAGGUGCUGCAUGGUUGUCGUCAGCUCGUGUCGUGAGAUGUUGGCUUAAGUCCCACAACGAGCGCAACCGUUGCCGUUAGUUGCCAGCGGGUCAUGC
rnacentral:rRNA from 1 species